UACAGAGGGUGCGAGCGUUACUCGGAAUUACUGGGCGUAAAGCGCGCGUAGGCGGCUUUGUAAGUCGGUUGUGAAAUCCCCGGGCUUAACCUGGGAACUGCAUCCGAGACUGCAUAGCUAGAGUAUGGGAGAGGGAAGUGGAAUUUCAGGUGUAGCGGUGAAAUGCGUAGAUAUCUGAAGGAACAUCAGUGGCGAAAGCGACUUCCUGGACCAAUACUGACGCUCAUGUGCGAAAGCGUGGGGAGCAAACAGG
rnacentral:rRNA from 1 species